AGAGCGAACGCUGGCGGCAGGCCUAACACAUGCAAGUCGAGCGCCGUAGCAAUACGGAGCGGCAGACGGGAGAGUAACACGUGGGAACGUACCCUUUGGUUCGGAACAACCCAGGGAAACUUGAGCUAAUACCGAAUGUGCCCUUCGGGGGAAAGAUUUAUCGCCAUUGGAGCGGCCCGCGUCUGAUUAGCUAGUUGGUGAGGUAAAGGCUCACCAAGGCGACGAUCAGUAGCUGGUCUGAGAGGAUGAUCAGCCACACUGGGACUGAGACACGGCCCAGACUCCUACGGGAGGCAGCAGUAGGGAAUCUUGCGCAAUGGGCGAAAGCCUGACGCAGCCAUGCCGCGUGAAUGAUGAAGGUCUUAGGAUUGUAAAAUUCUUUCAGCGGGGACAGUAAUGACGGUACCCGCAGAAGAAGCCCGGCUAACUUCGUGCCAGCAGCCGC
rnacentral:rRNA from 1 species